UACGAAGGGGGCUAGCGUUGCUCGGAAUCACUGGGCGUAAAGGGUGCGUAGGCGGGUCUUUAAGUCAGGGGUGAAAUCCUGGAGCUCAACUCCAGAACUGCCUUUGAUACUGAAGAUCUUGAGUUCGGGAGAGGUGAGUGGAACUGCGAGUGUAGAGGUGAAAUUCGUAGAUAUUCGCAAGAACACCAGUGGCGAAGGCGGCUCACUGGCCCGAUACUGACGCUGAGAAGCGAAAGCAUGAGGAGCGAACAGG
rnacentral:rRNA from 1 species